rnacentral:rRNA from 1 species
GGUGAGUAAUGUAUAGACAACCUACCCUCGAGAAGGGGAUAAUAACUCGAAAGGGUUACUAAUACCGCAUAAGUUGAGAGUACGCAUGUACACUCAAUGAAAGUUGGGGACCUUCGGGCCUAAUGCUUGAGGAGGGGUCUAUAUCCUAUCAGCUAGUUGGCAGGGUGAAAGCCUACCAAGGCGAUGACGGGUAGCCGGCCUGAGAGGGUGAACGGCCACAUGGACACUGCGACACGGGUCCAACUCCUACGGGAGGCAGCAGUAGGGAAUAUUGGACAAUGGGCGAAAGCCUGAUCCAGCGACGCCGUGUGGAGGAUGACGGCCUUCGGGUUGUAAACUCCUUACACAGGUUAUGAAGGCAUGAGGAGCGAACAGCGCCUUGUGUUUGACAAUCCUGGGAUGAAGUCAUUGCUAACUCUGUGCCAGCAGCAGCGGUAAUACAGAGAUGACGACCGUUGUUCGGAAUUACUGGGCUUAAAGAGCUCGUAGGUGGGGUGUUAAGUCGGUUGUGAAAGACCACGUUUUAAGCGUGGGGGGUCAGCCGAAACUGGCAUUCUUGAGGACGGUAGGGGAGAGUGGAAUUCCUGGUGGAGCGGUGAAAUGCGUAGAGAUCAGGAGGAACGCCGGAGGCGAAGGUGACUCUCUAGGCCGUUCCUGACACUGAGGUGCGAAAGCUAGGGGAGCAAACGGGAUUAGAUACCCCGGUAGUCCUAGCUGUAAACUAUGGGCACUAAGUGGGGGAGGGUACUUCCUCGCCGGAGCGAAAGCAUUAAGUGCCCCGCCUGGGGAGUAUGACCGCAAGGUUGAAACUCAAAGGAAUUGACGGGGGCUCGCACAAGCGGUGGAGCAUGUGGUUUAAUUCGACAACGCGAAGAACCUUACCUGGGCUUGACAUGAUAGGAUUAGCCUCGUGAAAGCGAGGUGACACCUCGCAAGGGGUGGAACUACCACAGGUGUUGCAUGGCUGUCGUCAGCUCGUGCCGUGAGGUGUUGGGUUAAGUCCUAUAACGAGCGAAACCUUUGUCCUUAGUUACCAUCGGGUAAAGCCGGGGACUCUAAGGAGACUGCAGGCGUUAAGCCUGAGGAAGGUGGAGAUGACGUCAAGUCAUCAUGGCCUUUAUGCCCAGGGCUACACACGUGCUACAAUGGUCGGUACAAAGGGAAGCUAAGCCGCGAGGUAGAGCAAAUCCCGAAAAAGCCGAUCCCAGUUCAGAUUGCGGGCUGCAAUUCGCCCGCAUGAAGCCGGAAUCGCUAGUAAUCGUAGGUCAGCUACACUACGGUGAAUGUGUUCCCGAGCCUUGUACACACCGCCCGUCAAGCCACCGAAGCAAGGGUAGCCUAAAGUCACUGGCCUAACCCGCAAGGGGAGGAAGUGCCCAAGGAAACGCUUGUGACGGGGACUAAGUCGUAACAAGGUA